rnacentral:tRNA from 1 species
AGCCCCUUAGCUUAGUGGUAGAGCACGAGACUUUGAUCCUCGGGAUGUCUGUUCGAUUCAGUCAGGGGUUGCCA